rnacentral:rRNA from 2 species
UAGAGUUUGAUCCUGGCUCAGGAUGAACGCCGGCGGUGUGCCUAAUACAUGCAAGUCGUACGCACUGGCCCAACUGAUUGAUGGUGCUUGCACCUGAUUGACGAUGGAUCACCAGUGAGUGGCGGACGGGUGAGUAACACGUAGGUAACCUGCCCCGGAGCGGGGGAUAACAUUUGGAAACAGAUGCUAAUACCGCAUAACAACAAAAGCCACAUGGCUUUUGUUUGAAAGAUGGCUUUGGCUAUCACUCUGGGAUGGACCUGCGGUGCAUUAGCUAGUUGGUAAGGUAACGGCUUACCAAGGCGAUGAUGCAUAGCCGAGUUGAGAGACUGAUCGGCCACAAUGGAACUGAGACACGGUCCAUACUCCUACGGGAGGCAGCAGUAGGGAAUCUUCCACAAUGGGCGCAAGCCUGAUGGAGCAACACCGCGUGAGUGAAGAAGGGUUUCGGCUCGUAAAGCUCUGUUGUUGGAGAAGAACGUGCGUGAGAGUAACUGUUCACGCAGUGACGUAUCCACCAGAUGCCGACU